rnacentral:pre_miRNA from 1 species
CUUUCUGUCGGAUAGCUUAUCAGACUGAUGUUGACUGUUGGAUGUCAUGGCAACAACAGUCGGUAGGCUGUCUGACAUUUU